CCUACGGGAGGCAGCAGUGGGGAAUAUUGCGCAAUGGGCGAAAGCCUGACGCAGCGACGUCGCGUGAGGGAUGAAGGUCCUCGGAUCGUAAACCUCUGUCAGCAGGGAAGAACGGUCACUGUGCUAAUCAGCAGUGAAUUGACGGUACCUGCAAAGGAAGCACCGGCGAACUCCGUGCCAGCAGCCGCGGUAAUACGGAGGGUGCGAGCGUUAAUCGGAAUUACUGGGCGUAAAGCGCUCGUAGGCGGUAUGUCAAGUCAAGGGUGAAAUCCCCGCGCUCAACGUGGGAACUGCCUUUGAUACUGGCAGACUUGAGUGUGUGAGAGGAUAGUGGAAUUCCAGGUGUAGGAGUGAAAUCCGUAGAUAUCUGGAGGAACCUCAGUGGCGAAGGCGACUAUCUGGCACAUAACUGACGCUGAGGAGCGAAAGCGUGGGUAGCAAACAGGAUUAGAUACCCGAGUAGUC
rnacentral:rRNA from 1 species